rnacentral:lncRNA from 1 species
AAGAAACUGGCCAAAAGAAAUUAAAUGACUUGCUAGUGUCACCCAGCUCAUUAGUGAUCAGAAUGGUUCUUGAAUCCAGGUUUUCCUGAUUCCAUCUGCAUCAUUCUAAAAUAUGUGCUCUGCUAUUUACUCAGGUACUCUUUAUUGAGGUUAGUGCUUUAAGAAGAUGGAAGAAGCUUUCUAUUGAAAGAGAUGACAAAAUUGAAACAUG